rnacentral:lncRNA from 1 species
CCGGUUCAGCCGCCGCCGCUGGCGCGCACUGUACAGCUGCAUCAGCUGUUCGUAGGACAUGUCCAGCAGCUGGUCCAGGUCCACGCCGCGUCUCUCCCUGUUACCCAGGCUGGAGUGCAAUGGCAUGAUCUCAGCUCACUGCAACCUCCGCCUCCUGAGUUCAAGCAAUUCUCCUGCAUCAGCCUCCUGAGUAGCUGGGAUUACAGGCACACACCACCAUAUCCGGCUAAUUUUUUGUAUCUUUAUUAGAGACGGGGUUUCACCAUGUUGGCCAGGCUGGUCUCGAACUCCUUACCUCAUGAUCCGUCUGCCUCAGCCUCCCAAAGUGCUGGGACUACAGGCGUGAGCCACCGCACCCGGCCACAUCAUUUGAUAAUUACUGAGACUUUCCUUUAUGGCUAAAAAUUCCUCUUAACCUAAGUCAUAAAGAUUUUUUCUUAUAUAGGUCCACAUAACUCACCUGAAAUCCCUGGAGCCAGAUGUUUGAAAUAUAGACUAUUUUAAAUAUUAGAAGGGUAGUAUGAAACAUACAACAUAUAUUGUAUAAUAUUCUCAACAAGAACUGGGACAGUACCCAUAAUGAAAUACAUUAAUAUUUCUACCGAAAAGCAUAUGCAGUCACCUAAGUGAUAAUAACAACUAUAAAGAGCCUCAUGUUACUUUAAGUCGUAUUUUUCACCAAAUGAGUUCCAAAGUGUGUGGUGUUUCAGAGGUUUGGGGAUUUUAUAAUUAGUACAAAAGUUAUGGUAGCCUUAUUCAGUAAGAAUGGAAUGAUUUCAAAGUUUGUAGGAACUUACUGGUGGAGCCACGUACCUGGGAUUUGUGUGUAUGAAGAUUCUUCACUACUCAUUCAAAUUAUGUAAUAGUUUCUCUACUUUUGAGUUGUUUUUCUUGAAGUUUGUACAGUCAUCUAAAUCUUAUUUGCACUAAAUUGUUUACAAGAUUAUCUAACUUUUUUGAUGUCUAUAGUAUUUCUAGUUUCCAUUCUUGAUAAAGAUUGUUGACAUCCCUCCUUUUAUAGCUAUUAGAUGUUUGCCAAUUUUAAUUUUUCUUUUCCAAAAAAAAUCAACUUUUGGCUUCUUUCAACCUAUUCUAUGCUGUGGUGUGCUAGUGAGUUAGCUCCAAACAUAAAAUCCUGGCUUGUUGAUUUCCAUAGUGUAAACAGUCCCAUCAUGGUUGACUUCAAGCUACUUAUUUGAAUUGGCUCCAAACAUAAAACAAAAUCCUGGCUUGUUUGUUGAGUUCCAUAGUGUAAACAGUCCCAUCGUGGGUGACUUCAAGCUACUUAUUUGAUGUUAUUGAUCAUGGAGUUGCCAAGAGGUGUGCACAAUUGGCUCUCCUAUGCCAGUACAGGCUGGCUCUGGUACACCACUGCUUUUAUUUUCCAUUUCGUUAAUUUCUGCUCUUAACAUUAUUUCUGUCCUUCUAUUUUCUGUCUUAUUUUGCUGUCCUUUUUCUAACUUCUUGAAAAGGGAUUUUCAGCUCAAGACUUUUCAGACUCUUCUAAUACACUUACUUAUGGCUAUAAAUGUCCCUGUAAGUGCUGCUUCAGUUUCAUCCCACAGGUGUUGCUAUUGUUAUUUUAUGGUUCAGUUCAAAAUAUUUUCUCAAUACCAUUGACUCUGUCUCUGUGUUAUUCAGGCUUGUUUUUACAGUUCUUUAUUGAUUUCUAUCUUAAAUGCACUGUAGUAAAAAAUGACAAUUAUUUCAAUUUUCAAAAUUUCUUGAGUUGCUUUAUAACUAAGUAUGUGGUUGACUGUGGUGAUGUGUCUGCUUUCAAAAAACUGUACAUUCUGAUUUUGGUCGUGUUGUUCUGUACAUAUUAAUUGCGUCAUUUUUACAUCAUGUUAUUCACGUUUCCUAUAUCCUUAACUUUUCUCUUGCUAGUCUUAACGAUUAGUGAGAAAGUCCUGUUAAAAUUACCCAAUAUGACCAGGCAUUUUUUUUCUUUGUAAUUCUGUCACUUCACUUUGUUUCAUAUGUAUUUUUCAUUAGGUACUUAUAAAUUUUAAAUUUAAAACACAUUUCCUUUUUAGACUCAGAAGUCAUCUAAGACUCUUUCCUUUCAUUCCUUUUAUAUCCCAUCAGUCAUAUUUAAAAGAUAUCUAUAUGUAAACUGACGUCAAUAGACAUGAUGUAAAAGAAGGGGGUGGCUCUGGUAAAGCUAAAGUAACUCCACUAUGAGAGUGCAUUAACUAUGGGGGAAAUACUUUCUAUAUUGCAGAACACAUAUUUGGUGGUACGUAGCCUCACAUCGCCACCCGGAAAAGUCUGCAUAUAUUGAAUUUGGAAUGGAUCAAACUGCACUGAGUGCAAAAUUGUAAAUUGCAUCUUAUAUAAAUGUUUUAGAACUAGAUGAUGGAGCAGAUGGGAUCUAUUAAGAGAACGGGGUGCCAGAUGACUGACCAUAAACAUGCUUUUUAAUAAAGACUCUGCUGAGAGAUUAACUCAUAUAUUUUCUAAAAUUUUUAUUUCUUGUUCAUUUUGUUUCUAAGAUAUUCACUCACAUAUUAAAAAUAACAACGUCU